GACGAACGCUGGCGGCGUGCUUAACACAUGCAAGUCGAACGAAGAGCGAUGGAUGCUUGCUUCUAUCAGUCUUAGUGGCGGACGGGUGAGUAACGCGUAAUCAACCUGCCCUUCUGAGGGGGCCAACAGUUGGAAACGACUGCUCAUACCGCAUACGAUCUAAUCUCGGCAUCGAGGGGAGAUGAAAGGUGGCCUCUACAUGUAAGCUAUCACUUCAGGAGGGGAUUGGGUCUGAUAGCUAGUUGGAGGGGUAACGGCCCACCGAGGCGAGGAUCAGUAGCCGGACGGAGAGGAUGAACGGCCACAUUGGGACUGAGACACGGCCCAGACGCCUACGGGAGGCAGCAGGGGGGAAUCGUCCGCAAUGGACGAAAGUCUGACGGAGCAACGCCGCGUGAGGGAUGACGGCCUUCGGGUUGUAAAGGUCUGUUAAUCGGGACGAAAGGCCUUCUUGCGAAUAGUGAGAAGGAUUGACGGUACCGGAAUAGAAAGCCACGGCUAACUACGUG
rnacentral:rRNA from 1 species